rnacentral:rRNA from 1 species
GAUGAACGCUGGCGGCGUGCCUAAUACAUGCAAGUCGAGCGAACAGAUGAGGAGCUUGCUCCUCUGACGUUAGCGGCGGACGGGUGAGUAACACGUGGCUAACCUACCUAUAAGACUGGGAUAACUUCGGGAAACCGGAGCUAAUACCGGAUAAUAUAUUGAACCGCAUGGUUCAAUAGUGAAAGACGGUUUUGCUGUCAAUUAUAGAUGGAUCCGCGCCGCAUUAGCUAGUUGGUAAGGUAACGGCUUACCAAGGCAACGAUGCGUAGCCGACCUGAGAGGGUGGUCGGCCACACUGGGACUGAGACACGGUACAGACUCCUAGAGGAGGCCGCAGUAGGGAAUCUUCCGCAAAGGGCGAAAGACUGACGGAGCAACGCCGGCGGAGUGAUGAAGGUCUUCGGAUCGGAAAACUCUGUUAUUAGGGAAGAACAAAUGUGUAAGUAACGAUGCACGUCUUGACGGUACCUAAUCAGAAAGCCACGGCUAACUACGUG